rnacentral:rRNA from 1 species
AUUGAACGCUGGCGGCAUGCUUUACACAUGCAAGUCGAACGGUAACAGGCCGCAAGGUGCUGACGAGUGGCGAACGGGUGAGUAGUGCAUCGGAACGUGCCCAGUCGUGGGGGAUAACUACUCGAAAGAGUAGCUAAUACCGCAUACGAUCUAUGGAUGAAAGCGGGGGACCGUAAGGCCUCGCGCGAUUGGAGCGGCCGAUGUCAGAUUAGGUAGUUGGUGGGGUAAAGGCUCACCAAGCCAACGAUCUGUAGCUGGUCUGAGAGGACGACCAGCCACACUGGGACUGAGACACGGCCCAGACUCCUACGGGAGGCAGCAGUGGGGAAUUUUGGACAAUGGGCGCAAGCCUGAUCCAGCAAUGCCGCGUGCAGGAAGAAGGCCUUCGGGUUGUAAACUGCUUUUGUACGGAACGAAACGGCUCUGGUUAAUACCCGGGGCUAAUGACGGUACCGUAAGAAUAAGCACCGGCUAACUACGUG